rnacentral:rRNA from 1 species
CCCAGAGCCUGAAUCAGUGUGUGUGUUAGUGGAAGCGUCUGGAAAGGCGCGCGAUACAGGGUGACAGCCCCGUACACAAAAAUGCACAUAUUGUGAGCUCGAUGAGUAGGGCGGGACACGUGGUAUCCUGUCUGAAUAUGGGGGGACCAUCCUCCAAGGCUAAAUACUCCUGACUGACCGAUAGUGAACCAGUACCGUGAGGGAAAGGCGAAAAGAACCCCGGCGAGGGGAGUGAAAAAGAACCUGAAACCGUGUACGUACAAGCAGUGGGAGCCUCUUAAUGGGGUGACUGCGUACCUUUUGUAUAAUGGGUCAGCGACUUAUAUUCUGUAGCAAGGUUAACCGAAUAGGGGAGCCGAAGGGAAACCGAGUCUUAACUGGGCGUUAAGUUGCAGGGUAUAGACCCGAAACCCGGUGAUCUAGCCAUGGGCAGGUUGAAGGUUGGGUAACACUAACUGGAGGACCGAACCGACUAAUGUUGAAAAAUUAGCGGAUGACUUGUGGCUGGGGGUGAAAGGCCAAUCAAACCGGGAGAUAGCUGGUUCUCCCCGAAAGCUAUUUAGGUAGCGCCUCGUGAAUUCAUCUCCGGGGGUAGAGCACUGUUUCGGCAAGGGGGUCAUCCCGACUUACCAACCCGAUGCAAACUGCGAAUACCGGAGAAUGUUAUCACGGGAGACACACGGCGGGUGCUAACGUCCGUCGUGAAGAGGGAAACAACCCAGACCGCCAGCUAAGGUCCCAAAGUCAUGGUUAAGUGGGAAACGAUGUGGGAAGGCCCAGACAGCCAGGAUGUUGGCUUAGAAGCAGCCAUCAUUUAAAGAAAGCGUAAUAGCUCACUGGUCGAGUCGGCCUGCGCGGAAGAUGUAACGGGGCUAAACCAUGCACCGAAGCUGCGGCAGCGACACUAUGUGUUGUUGGGUAGGGGAGCG